AUAGCGUAUAUUAAAGUUGUUGCAGUUAAAAAGCUCGUAGUUGAACUUCAGACCUGGCUGGGCGGUCAGCUUAUCGGCUAGUACUGUCCGGCUGGGCCUUACUUCUUGGUGAGCCGGUGUGCCCUUUAUUGGGUGCGUCGGUGAACCAGGACCUUUACCUUGAGAAAAUUAGAGUGUUCAAAGCAGGCCUAUGCCCGAAUACAUUAGCAUGGAAUAAUAGAAUAGGACGUUGUGGUUCUAUUUUGUUGGUUUCUAGAAUCGCCGUAAUGAUUAAUAGGGAUAGUUGGGGGCAUUGGUAUUCAGCCGCUAGAGGUGAAAUUCUUGGAUUGGCUGAAGACCAACUAUUG
rnacentral:rRNA from 1 species